rnacentral:rRNA from 1 species
GAUGAACGCUGGCGGCGUGCUUAACACAUGCAAGUCGAACGGAAAGGCUCCUGCUUGCAGGGGUACUCGAGUGGCGAACGGGUGUGAAACACGUGUGUGAUCUCCCCUGCUCUGCGGGAUAUGCCUGCGAAACUGGGUCUAAUACCGGAUAGGACGAUGGUUUGUGUGUGGUUGUGGAAAGUUUUUCGGUGUGGGAUGAGCUGGCGGCCUAUCCGCUUGUUGGUUGGGUAAUGGCCUACCAAAGCGUCGACGGGUAGCCGGCCUGGGAGGGGGUACGGCCACAUUGGGCCUGAGAGAGGGCCCAGAAUCCUACGGGAGGCAGCGGGGGGGAAUAUGGCACAGUGGGGGCAAGCCUGUGGCGGCGGCGCCGGGUGGGGAAUGCCGGCCUUCGGGUGGUAAACUACUUUGGCUAUGGACGAGGCGCAAGUGACGGUACCUGGUGAAGAAGCACCGGCUAACUACGUG